UCACUCCACUGCCUCGGGGGUUCUGAUGAGUAAAGUCUGGGCAUGCUCACUUGGGAGCAGAGAACACUUGUUCUCUUCUGUGCUCUGAGAUUCACUGAGGAGCUCAACCUGGACAGCAUUGCCUGGGGCCGAGAGAAUGAGCAUCACUAAUGAUCCAUGAGCCUAUGAGUUAUAAAAAUCCAGAUUCUCCAACCUAGCCAUUUGACAGGUCCAUUUAUAUGUGGGUUGUGGAUUUUCUCCUGCCUCUGCCACCCCUGAGACAGCAAGACCAACCCAUCCUCUCCCUCCUCCUCAGCCUACUCAAUGUGAAGAUGGCGAGGAUGAAGACCUUUAUGAUGGUCCACUUCCAUUUAAUGAAUGGUA
rnacentral:lncRNA from 10 species